GAUGAACGCUGGCGGCGUGCCUAAUACAUGCAAGUCGAGCGAACAGAUGAGGAGCUUGCUCCUCUGACGUUAGCGGCGGACGGGUGAGUAACACGUGGAUAACCUACCUAUAAGACUGGGAUAACUUCGGGAAACCGGAGCUAAUACCGGAUAAUAUAUUGAACCGCAUGGUUCAAUAGUGAAAGACGGUUUUGCUGUCACUUAUAGAUGGAUCCGCGCCGCAUUAGCUAGUUGGUAAGGUAACGGCUUACCAAGGCAACGAUGCGUAGCCGACCUGAGAGGGUGAUCGGCCACACUGGAACUGAGACACGGUCCAGACUCCUACGGGAGGCAGCAGUAGGGAAUCUUCCGCAAUGGGCCAAAACCUGACGGAGCAACGCCGCGUGAGUGAUGAAGGUCUUCGGAUCGUAAAACUCUGUUAUUAGGGAAGAACAAAUGUGUAAGUAACUAUGCACGUCUUGACGGUACCUAAUCAGAAAGCCACGGCUAACUACGUG
rnacentral:rRNA from 1 species